rnacentral:ribozyme from 1 species
CCAGCAAAGAAAGAUGCAAAGAAGGAAUCAAAGAAGGAUGCAAAGAAGGACGAAAAGAAAAAGAAGGGCUUCUUCUCAAAGUUGAAGAGUGUUUUCAAAUAAACCUUUUUCUAAAUUUAUGUUCCAUAUUUUGAUUUUAUAAUUU